GACGAACGCUGGCGGCGUGCUUAACACAUGCAAGUCGAACGGAAAGGCCCUGCUUUUGUGGGGUGCUCGAGUGGCGAACGGGUGAGUAACACGUGAGUAACCUGCCCUUGACUUUGGGAUAACUUCAGGAAACUGGGGCUAAUACCGGAUAGGAGCUCCUGCUGCAUGGUGGGGGUUGGAAAGUUUCGGCGGUUGGGGAUGGACUCGCGGCUUAUCAGCUUGUUGGUGGGGUAGUGGCUUACCAAGGCUUUGACGGGUAGCCGGCCUGAGAGGGUGACCGGCCACAUUGGGACUGAGGUGCGGCCCAGACUCCUACGGGAGGGAGGAGGGGGGAAUAUUGCACAAUGGGCGGAAGCCUGAUGCAGCAACGCCGCGUGCGGGAUGACGGCCUUCGGGUUGUAAACCGCUUUCGCCUGUGACGAAGCGUGAGUGACGGUAAUGGGUAAAGAAGCACCGGCUAACUACGUG
rnacentral:rRNA from 1 species